UCUGGUAGAUGCUUCAUAGAUUUCCUAGCCAUAUGAAUAUUUUACUCAUGCAAAAUAUCUUCUUCCUCUCCUAUGGCUCUGCCCAGAGUGCAGCUGGAAGCCACUGCAUCCAUCUGGAAACCAUGAGAGGAUUCAGGCUGAAAGAAGGGGAACACUCUGAGCAAGGCAAAAAAGGGCACACGGAGACCUGGAGUUUCAGCAGCACAGCCCUGGGAAGAGACGGCCUGGGCCUCUGAAUCGCUGUCUGACUAAACAAGCCGACAGGAUAGGAAGAAAGCUUGUGUAGGAACACAUUUGACAUUCCCAGCCAUUCAGUUCCCAAAGCAUUCUAUCACACCUUGGAUCGGCUUUUCAAUCAAGGAAAGUUUGCUACAUUACAGCGCGCCUGCUGUAUACCCAACUCUAGGAUGGGUCUUUGGGGACACAUAGGGAAGCAGACAGGUGUUCUUUCACUCGGCGGAAACUCUUUAAGCACUGUGUAGACUUUGGUCCCUGUCAUCAGGAUACUUAAAAUCGCCAUCAAGAGAGAAAGUACACA